rnacentral:rRNA from 1 species
AGUGAACGCUGGCGGUAGGCCUAACACAUGCAAGUCGAACGGCAGCACAGUAAGAGCUUGCUCUUACGGGUGGCGAGUGGCGGACGGGUGAGGAAUACAUCGGAAUCUACUUUUUCGUGGGGGAUAACGGAGGGAAACUUACGCUAAUACCGCAUACGAUCUACGGGUGAAAGCAGGGGAUCUUCGGACCUUGCGCGAUUGAAUGAGCCGAUGUCGGAUUAGCUAGUUGGCGGGGUAAAGGCCCACCAAGGCGACGAUCCGUAGCUGGUCUGAGAGGAUGAUCAGCCACACUGGAACUGAGACACGGUCCAGACUCCUACGGGAGGCAGCAGUGGGGAAUAUUGGACAAAGGGCGCAAGCCUGAUCCAGCCAUACCGCGUGGGUGAAGAAGGCCUUCGGGUUGUAAAGCCCUUUUGUUGGGAAAGAAAAGCAGCAGGUUAAUACCCCGCUGUUCUGACGGUACCCAAAGAAUAAGCACCGGCUAACUUCGUG